rnacentral:rRNA from 1 species
AUGGCCUUAUGGAUGCAAUUGCUCCUUCAACAGGCAAUGCGCAUGAAAGGUUUUAAUGAGGCUUGGCGGAACCAAGUGGGUUCUCUAGUCCAAAAAGGUAGUGUCGGAAUCAAGGUUAACGAUGAUAUCGGCCACUACUUUCAGAUACACAUGGGAUUGAGACAAGGGGAUUCAAUGUCACCUCUCCUAUUUAAUAUAGUGGCCGAUAUGUUGAACAUUCUUAUAAACCGGGCCAAGGAAAACGGUCAAGUGGAUGGACUUAUCACUCAUCUGGUCGAUGGGGGAGUCUUCAUUUUACAGUACGCUGACGACACUAUCCUAUUCAUGGAACAUGACAUUGCAAAAAGCGCGGAAUAUGAAACUCAUAUUAUGUCUCUUCGAACAAUUAUCUGGAUUAAAAAUAAACUUUCACAAGAGCGAGUUGUUCUACUUUGGUAA